rnacentral:rRNA from 1 species
CCAAUAGCGUAUAUUAAAGUUGUUGCAGUUAAAAAGCUCGUAGUUGAAUUUCGAGAUCAAUAUGUCGGUCGUGCUUAGGUACGUACUGGCAUUAUUGAUUUCUCCUUUCUGAUGAACCAUAAUGUCAUUAAUUUGGUGUUAUGGGGAAUCAGGACUGUUACCUUGAAAAAAUUAGAGUGUUUAAAGCAGGCUCACGCUUGAAUACAUUAGCAUGGAAUAAUGAAAUAGGACGUUUGAUUCUAUUUUGUUGGUUUCUAGGAUCGACGUAAUGAUUAAUUGGGAUAGUUGGGGGCAUUAGUAUUAAAUUGUCAGAGGUGAAAUUCUUGGAUUUAUUGAGGACUAACUACUGCGAAAGCAUUUGCCAAGGAUGUUUUCAUUAAUCAAGAACGAAAGUUAGGGGAUCGAAGACGAUCAGGUACCGUCGUAGUCUUAACCAUAAACUAUGCCGACUAGGGAUCGGAUGAUGUUAAUUUUUUAAUGACUCAUUCGGCGCCUUACG